AUGGGAGCUUGCUCCCUGAUGUUAGCGGCGGACGGGUGAGUAACACGUGGGUAACCUGCCUGUAAGACUGGGAUAACUCCGGGAAACCGGGGCUAAUACCGGAUGCUUGUUUGAACCGCAUGGUUCAAACAUAAAAGGUGGCUUCGGCUACCACUUACAGAUGGACCCGCGGCGCAUUAGCUAGUUGGUGAGGUAACGGCUCACCAAGGCGACGAUGCGUAGCCGACCUGAGAGGGUGAUCGGCCACACUGGGACUGAGACACGGCCCAGACUCCUACGGGAGGCAGCAGUAGGGAAUCUUCCGCAAUGGACGAAAGUCUGACGGAGCAACGCCGCGUGAGUGAUGAAGGUUUUCGGAUCGUAAAGCUCUGUUGUUAGGGAAGAACAAGUACCGUUCGAAUAGGGCGGUACCUUGACGGUACCUAACCAGAAAGCCACGGCUAACUACGUGCCAGCAGCCGCGGUAAUACGUAGGUGGCAAGCGUUGUCCGGAAUUAUUGGGCGUAAAGGGCUCGCAGGCGGUUCCUUAAGUCUGAUGUGAAAGCCCCCGGCUCAACCGGGGAGGGUCAUUGGAAACUGGGGAACUUGAGUGCAGAAGAGGAGAGUGGAAUUCCACGUGUAGCGGUGAAAUGCGUAGAGAUGUGGAGGAACACCAGUGGCGAAUGCGACUCUCUGGUCUGUAACUGACGCUGAGGAGCGAAAGCGUGGGGAGCGAACAGGAUUAGAUACCCUGGUAGUCCACGCCGUAAACGAUGAGUGCUAAGUGUUAUGGGGUUUACCGCCCCCUUAGUGCUGCAGCU
rnacentral:rRNA from 1 species